UACGUAGGGUGCGAGCGUUAAUCGGAAUUACUGGGCGUAAAGUGUGCGCAGGCGGCAGAGCAAGUCGAGUGUGAAAGCCCCGGGCUUAACUUGGGAAUUGCGCUCGAAACUACUUUGCUGGAGUGUGGCAGAGGAAGGUGGAAUUCCACGUGUAGGCGGUGAAAUGCGUAGGAGAUGUGGAGAACACCAAUGGCGAAGGCAGCCAU
rnacentral:rRNA from 1 species